rnacentral:rRNA from 1 species
ACCAAGGCGACGACGGGUAGCCGGCCUGAGAGGGCGACCGGCCACACUGGGACUGAGACACGGCCCAGACUCCUACGGGAGGCAGCAGUGGGGAAUAUUGCGCAAUGGGGGAAACCCUGACGCAGCGACGCCGCGUGCGGGAUGAAGGCCUUCGGGUUGUAAACCGCUUUCACCAGGGACGAAGCGAGAGUGACGGUACCUGGGGAAGAAGCGCCGGCUAACUACGUGCCAGCAGCCGCGGUAAUACGUAGGGCGCAAGCGUUGUCCGGAAUUAUUGGGCGUAAAGAGCUCGUAGGCGGCUUGUCACGUCUGCUGUGAAAUCCCGGGGCUCAACCCCGGGCGUGCAGUGGAUACGGGCUGGCUAGAGGCAGGCAGGGGAGAACGGAAUUCCCGGUGUAGCGGUGAAAUGCGCAGAUAUCGGGAGGAACACCGGUGGCGAAGGCGGUUCUCUGGGCCUGUACUGACGCUGAGGAGCGAAAGCGUGGGGAGCGAACAGGAUUAGAUACCCUGGUAGUCCACGCCGUAAACGUUGGGCGCUAGGUGUGGGUCCCUUCCACGGGGUCUGUGCCGCAG